rnacentral:rRNA from 1 species
AUUGAACGCUGGCGGCAUGCCUUACACAUGCAAGUCGAACGGCAGCACGGGAGCAAUCCUGGUGGCGAGUGGCGAACGGGUGAGUAAUAUAUCGGAACGUGCCCAGUCGUGGGGAUAACGUAGCGAAAGCUACGCUAAUACCGCAUACGAUCUAUGGAUGAAAGCGGGGGAUCGCAAGACCUCGCGCGAUUGGAGCGGCCGAUAUCAGAUUAGGUAGUUGGUGAGGUAAAGGCUCACCAAGCCGACGAUCUGUAGCUGGUCUGAGAGGACGACCAGCCACACUGGGACUGAGACACGGCCCAGACUCCUACGGGAGGCAGCAGUGGGGAAUUUUGGGACAAUGGGCGCAAGCCUGAUCCAGCAAUGCCGCGUGCAGGAUGAAGGCCU